rnacentral:rRNA from 1 species
AAUACGGAGGGUGCGAGCGUUAUUCGGAAUUACUGGGCGUAAAGCGCAUGCAGGUGGUUUGUUAAGUCAGAUGUGAAAGCCCGGGGCUCAACCUCGGAAUUGCAUUUGAAACUGGCAAACUAGAGUACUGUAGAGGGGGGUAGAAUUUUCAGGUGUAGCGGUGAAAUGCGUAGAGAUCUGAAGGAAUACCGGUGGCGAAGGCGGCCCCCUGGACAGAUACUGACACUCAGAUGCGAAAGCGUGGGGAGCAAACAGGAUUAGAUACCCUGGUAGUCCACGCCGUAAACGAUGUCUACUUGGAGGUUGUGGCCUUGAGCCGUGGCUUUCGGAGCUAACGCGUUAAGUAGACCGCCUGGGGAGUACGGUCGCAAGAUUAAAACUCAAAUGAAUUGACGGGGGCCCGCACAAGCGGUGGAGCAUGUGGUUUAAUUCGAUGCAACGCGAAGAACCUUACCUACUCUUGACAUCUACAGAAGCCAGCGGAGACGCAGGUGUGCCUUCGGGAACUGUAAGACAGGUGCUGCAUGGCUGUCGUCAGCUCGUGUUGUGAAAUGUUGGGUUAAGUCCCGCAACGAGCGCAACCCUUAUCCUUGUUUGCCAGCACUUCGGGUGGGAACUCCAGGGAGACUGCCGGUGAUAAACCGGAGGAAGGUGGGGACGACGUCAAGUCAUUAUGGCCCUUACGAGUAGGGCUACACACGUGCUACAAUGGCGCAUACAGAGGGCGGCCAACUUGCGAAAGUGAGCGAAUCCCAAAAAGUGCGUCGUAGUCCGGAUUGGAGUCUGCAACUCGACUCCAUGAAGUCGGAAUCGCUAGUAAUCGUGGAUCAGAAUGCCACGGUGAAUACGUUCCUGGGCCUUGUACACACCGCCCGUCACACCAUGGGAGUGGGCUGCAAAAGAAGUGGGUAGUUUAACCUUCGGGAGGACGCUCACCACUUUGUGGUUCAUGACUGGGGUGAAGUCGUUACAAGUAACCG